ACAGGGUGACAGGUGGUGCAUGGUUGUCGUCAGCUCGUGUCGUGAGAUGUUGGGUUAAGUCCCGCAACGAGCGCAACCCUCGACCUUAGUUGCCAGCAUUCAGUUGGGCACUCUAAGGUGACUGCCGGCUAAAAGUCGGAGGAAGGUGGGAAUGACGUCAAAUCAUCAUGCCCCUUAUGACCUGGGCUACACACGUGCUACAAUGGGCGGUACAAAGGGUCGCGAACCCGCGAGGGGGAGCCAAUCCCAAAAAGCCGCUCUCAGUUCGGAUUGCAGGCUGCAACUCGCCUGCAUGAAGCCGGAAUCGCUAGUAAUCGCGGAUCAGCAUGCCGCGGUGAAUACGUUCCCGGGCCUU
rnacentral:rRNA from 1 species